rnacentral:lncRNA from 1 species
AUAAUAAAAUAAUCUCCAGGUGAAAAAAAUGCCCGUUUGCACAUUGCAUAGAUUUUUCUCCCUACCACAAGUGGUUAAUUUUUAAGCAAUCCAAUCUGAUGUAAAUCUGGGCAUGGCUGCGGCAGAUUUUCCCAACCCCCCCACUCUCAAGCUACCUCCCCGACUCUCUCUCUCACACGUAUCAUUUUAUACCACGGUGGGGGCCUUUAAGAUUAUUAAAGUGGCCAUAUUUGAUAGAUUUGUAUAGCGUUUUUCAGUGCAGAAAGGGAGUUUUGUUGCGUGUAUCUUGAGACAGUUAGUUGGGAUGGCUGAUCAUGGGGGGGGGGGGGGGGGGGGAGUAACAUUACAAGCAGUCAACACCCCCUUCUUCUUGUUUCUUGUAACAAUGUACAUGUUUUUUGAGGAGGGAGGGGUAAACGGAGAGAGGCAGAGAGAGAGAGAGAAAAGAAGAUGGGGGGGGGGGGGGGGGGGCGUUCGCAAUAAUAUAGGCCGCCAUUUUUUUAUGUAAGGGGAUUUUUCUUAUUGGGGGGGUUGUUAAAAAAUAAAUAUAAGAGCGGCCAUCUUUGUUUCCCUGCCUUGUAGUGUAAAAUAUUCCAAAACGGCCCCCACUUUUUUUCUGGUGUCGAUUUGAAUAUUAAAUAAAUAUCAUAAUUCCGGAAGGUUUCUGAUUUCGAGGAAGGAGCCGAUGACAGGAAUAUAAUGUCCUCUCCUCUCCGGUCCUGUGAGGAAGACCAGGGCAUGUUGGUUAAUUCCGAGGGAGUAGAUUUUGAUGAAGAAGACGAGGACGACGGAGAUCUAGACGAGAACGCAAGCGACAUAAACUCGCCGGCGGCGCCUCGAGAAACUGCAACACUAGCCGCGCCAGUAGAGGAAGAAAGGGAAGCAUCAGACAGGGCCAGUCUAGGGAGGAAGAAACGAGGGCCCAAGAAGAAGGAGACAAAGAAGAAGGAAAAAGAGAAAGAGGGAAAACCGGUUAAAGCCAAAAAACGGAAAAAGAUUGUAAGCCUCUCGAUCAUUACGGUCCAUCAACCACCAUACAUUCUGAUGACACGUCAUUCUACUUCAU